rnacentral:rRNA from 1 species
AUGAACGCUGGCGGCGUGCCUAAUACAUGCACGUCGAGCGAACAGACGAGGAGCUUGCUCCUCUGACGUUAGCGGCGGACGGGUGAGUAACACGUGGAUAACCUACCUAUAAGACUGGGAUAACUUCGGGAAACCGGAGCUAAUACCGGAUAAUAUAUUGAACCGCAUGGUUCAAUAGUGAAAGACGGUUUUGCUGUCACUUAUAGAUGGAUCCGCGCCGCAUUAGCUAGUUGGUAAGGUAACGGCUUACCAAGGCAACGAUGCGUAGCCGACCUGAGAGGGUGAUCGGCCACACUGGAACUGAGACACGGUCCAGACUCCUACGGGAGGCAGCAGUAGGGAAUCUUCAGCAAUGGGCGAAAGCUUGACGGAGCAACGCCGCGUGAGUGAUGAAGGUCUUCGGAUCGUAAAACUCUGUUAUUAGGGAAGAACAAAUGUGUAAGUAACUAUGCACGUCUUGACGGUACCUAAUCAGAAAGCCACGGCUAACUACGUG